GACGAAUGCUGGCUGCGUGCUUAACACAUGCAAGUCGAACGGUGAAGGGGAGCUUGCUCCCCGGAUCAGUGGCGAACGGGUGAGUAACACGUGGGCAACCUGCCCCUCACUCUGGGAUAACUCCGGGAAACCGGGGCUAAUACCGGAUACGACCGGGAGCGACAUCGCUCCUGGUGGAAAGAACUUCGGGGAAGGAUGGGCCCGCGGCCUAUCAGCGAGUUGGUGGGGUAACGGCCCACCAAGGUGAAGACGGGGAGCCGGCCUGAGAGGGCGACCGGCCACACUGGGACUGAGACACGGCCCAGACUCCUACGGGAGGCAGCAGUGGGGAAUAUUGCGCAAUGGGCGAAAGCCUGACGCAGCGACGCAGCGUGAGGGACGAAGGCCUUCGGGUUGUAAACCUCUUUCAGCGGGGACGAAGCGAAAGUGACGGUACCCGCAGAAGAAGCACCGGCUAACUACGUGCCAGCCGCCGCGGUAA
rnacentral:rRNA from 1 species